AGAGUGAGGGAGGGUGUGACUAGUGACAGAGAGAGGGAGGGUGUGACUAGUGACAGUCACCCCCUCCCUCACUCUGUCACUAGUCACCCCCUCCCUCACUCUGUCACUAGUCACCCCUUCCUUCCCUCACUCU